GUGCUUGUUUCGGCAGCACACAUACUAAAAUUGGAACAAUAGAGAUUCUCAUGGUCCCUGCACAAACACGACAUGCAAAUUCAUGAUCCUUUUAGAAAUUGG